rnacentral:rRNA from 1 species
AUACGUAGGGGGCGAGCGUUGUCCGGAAUGAUUGGGCGUAAAGGGCGCGUAGGCGGCCCGGUAAGUCUGGAGUGAAAGUCCUGUUUUUAAGAUGGGAAUUGCUUUGGAUACUGUCGGGCUUGAGUGCAGGAGAGGGAAGUGGAAUUCCCAGUGUAGCGGUGAAAUGCGUAGAGAUUGGGAGGAACACCAGUGGCGAAGGCGACUUACUGGACUGUAACUGACGCUGAGGCGCGAAAGUGUGGGGAGCAAACAGGAUUAGAUACCCUGGUAGUCCACACUGUAAACGAUGAGUGCUAGGUGUAGGGGGUAUCGACCCCUUCUGUGCCGCAGUCAACACAAUAAGCAUUCCGCCUGGGGAGUACGGCCGCAAGGUUGAAACUCAAAGGAAUUGACGGGG